rnacentral:lncRNA from 1 species
CAAUUUGCCCUGUGUGUCAGAAAAACAAAGGGGAACACUGUCACUACCCUGGGUUGUUGGAUCCCUUGCACAUACCUGACAUGGCAUGGACACAUUUGAGUAUGGAUUUUGUGGAGGGACUCCCUAAAUCCAAUGGCAAAGAAAUUAUUUUUGUCAUAGUUGAUAGGCUGACUAAAUUUGCUCAUUUCAUUGCCAUGUCUCACCCUUACACAGUCCAGUCGGUGGCUACUGCAUUUAUAGAUAAUGUGAUCAGAUUGCAUGGACCUCCUAUAGCCAUUGUGUCAGACAGAGAUAAAAUUUUUACAAGUCACUUGUGGAAGGAAAUCUUUGCUGCAAUGAAAAUAGAACUCAGAUACAGUUCUGCUUAUCAUCCUCAGUCUGAUGGACAGACAGAACGUGUAAAUCAAUGCAUUGAAAAUUAUUUAAGAUGCAUGGCAUCGGCAGAGCCAAAAAAGUGGGUAUAUCAUCUUCCAAUGGCUGAGUACUGGUACAAUACUUCCUUCCAUUCUUCUCUGCAGAAAACUCCUUUUCAAGCAUUAUAUGGGUAUGAUCCUCCCAAUAUCAGUGAGUUCUCUUUACCUGGAUCUCUAGAAGUUGGCCCUGCUGGCCCUACAGUGGAUAGGCAAGCUCUCAUGGGACAGCUCAGACAGAAUUUGCAAGCAGCUCAGGCUCGAAUGGUCAAGUUUGCAGAUAAGAAGAGAACUGAACGAGUACUAGCUCCUGGAGAUAUGGUUUAUCUGAAACUGCAACCCUACAGGCUCAAUGCUUUCGGUAUCCGACACCAUAUCAAGCUGCAAAGCAAGUAUUAUGGACCCUUUCGAGUGUUGAGCAAAGUUGGUAAUGUGGCUUAUAAGCUGUUCUUGCCAGCAGAUUCCCAAAUCCAUCCGGUAUUCCACAUUAGUCAACUUAAAAAGCAUAUUGGCCCAACAGCAGUUCCUUGCACGGAUCUACCCUUAAUUGGACCAAAUGGACAGAUAAGGACUGAACCAGUACUUGUCUUGGAAAUUCGUCAAAUACCACGGAACAAUGUUGCGGUGGUGCAGUGGCUCGUUCAGUGGGAGAACUUACCACCUGAAGAUGCUUCCUGGGAAGAUGCUGAUUUUAUCAAACACACAUUUCCGGGAUUCUUCAAGCAAACGGUGGAGAGCUGGCGGAAGCACGGCCCACCUUGAGGACAAGGUGGUUUUCAACGAGGAGGCAGUGUCAGGUAUCUGAAGUGCAAGACUCUUUCAGUUAUCGGACGGCUAGGAGCGGAGACAAGUGGAUUCAACGGCUCGCGUGCUCGCCGUAGUUUUAGGGGUACUGUAGUAAUUCAUUGACUGUAACCAGGGCUAUAUAACAGCCACUCCCAGCUCCUGCGUGGGCAUGUCAUUUUUGUCUGGUGAUCUAAAUCACUUUACUCCUAUACUUUACAGCUACCACACUCUGUAAUAUAUACAAUUCCUCUUGGCUUGGCCAAAUUCGAUCCCCAAUCAGACCUCAAAACCUAGUUCGUCAAGCUUACUAGUGUCCAGGUCCUAUCAGGGCAUGACACUCCGCAGCCUCCGCAUCGAGCUCCCCGCCGGCGAGCUCGGCAUGGACGACGGCGUGCUGCUCAAGUGGAAGGCCGACUUCGGCUCCACGCUCGGCAGCUGCGUCAUCCUCGGCGCCGCCUCCGCCUCUGCCACCAAGGACGGCACUACGGCCGCACCUCCUCCUGCUGCUGCUGAUUGUGCCGAGUCUGACGAUUCAGGGAGCAUACCGGAGUCCUUCUACACCAACGGGGGGCUUAAGCUGCGGGUGCUGUGGACUAUCAGCUCGUUGAUUGCGGCGUCGGCCCGGCAUUACCUGCUGCAGCCCAUCAUUGCCGACCACGCGUUGCUGGAGAGCCUGGAUCUGACGGACGCCGAUGGGCAGGGCGUGCUCACCAUGGACAAGUGGCAGCUGCAGGAGCUACGGGUCAGGCCAGUAUCAGCAUCUGGUGACUCGCACCGCACGCUCAUGCCGGCCCUUAGCAUGCGGUUGUGGUAUGCGCCACACAUUGAGCUGCCUGGGGGCACGGUCUUGAAUGGAGCAACACUGGUGGCCAUCAAGCCGAGCGAAGAGGCAAUGAUGGACGCAGUUGGGAAUGCAACUGCUGGGUCGGCAGGUGGAUCCUGGGUUUCAGAUGCCUUCGAGGAGCCAUAUCGGACGGCCGUCGGUGUGCUUCUCAAGCGGAGGAUGUAUAGCCUUGAGAUGAACUCAUUCUAAGCUAUGGAGGGAAUGCCAUUCCAGAAGUUUCAUCUGUGAAAGGUAAAUUUCACACUGCAUUCGGUCCAAUAUUUGUCUGAUUAUUUAGUUUUGCCUCUAAGGACUGACUCAACCUUAUUUUGCACAAUUGUGACACUAUCAUCACCAGCUCACCACCAUUGUGAUGCAUUGUAGAUUUGUAGCCAACGUAGUUAGAAAGUUUAAGAUUUGAGUGUUAGUCGGAAUGUUGGAUUUAGGUUUACCUUGUGUUAAUAUUUUGGUUAUUUCUUGUAAGAAGCAAAUUAUUGUAAACCAAUCAUCGAAUUAGUGUGUACUUGUAUGGAGUUAUUGUGAAGCACUUGUUUUGGCUAUUGUAUAUAGUAGUUCUCCCUUUAAAUAUUCAGUUUUGGUUCCAAACUCAAUUUACAUGAGUACAUUGCUAGACUGAGUGUACAACCAUACAAUGAACGUCAAUUUGAAAUCAUACUUCUCAUGAACAUUAUGAACUCUGGUAAUAUGUUAUUGCACAAAUCCUGAAAGAGUAUCGGAGUUUGAACAGGCUCCUAGAUUCAUGAUUCAGCAGUGAUGUAUUUGGUGUUUGUUACUUAAGUUUUUUUGGUGAUGGUGAUAAGCCAGUAACCUUCAUAUAAACUUGAAUGAAAUAAUUCAAUUCGUAAGAUCAGCAGGUGGUUUGCCAAAUCAUUAUUCCCGGUCACUUUCUUCCUUUUUGCGACAUUGGAAAAUUAUGUUAGCACUGAUCAUCAUUCAUCAGUGAUGCAUGAAAUAGAUAAUUCUGUUUGGUUUGCCUGUGGCGCUUAAUUUAUGAGGUGUCAAUUCUUCUUCUGAGUUCUGACUCUCGAAAAUUUAACUGACUGACCAAGUUGAAUCCCACAUAUAAGAAUGUCCAUCUUUCCAGCAAGAAGCAGACAGGUUUAGCUGGCUAGCUUUCUUUGCUAUGCCUAAUAUCUUGCAUUUUCUUAUGUACAAACACCAAUAUCUUCCCGCAAACUGUCGUUUUCAGCUGCUUUACCAUUUUGAUAAGAGCUGUACUCUGCACUUCAUUAAGAACCAUCUUUCCAAUUAUUACUUUGGACUUGUGCAAUUAAGGAAUAGGAAAUAAAGAGAGGGGGUGGUGGAGCUUUGGGGAAUGCUAGGGGCUAAGGGUUAGCGGAAGGCAAGUGUGGUUUGAGAAAAGUAAAAUGCUGUGCCCCAACCUGUACUUUCGGGAUGUAUUAUUUCUACCCAUUAUGAUAAAAGUUGUACUGCGUGCUCUUUAAGGAUCAUCUGUUCCAUUACUACUUUUGAAUUGUGCAGUUAAGGUAGGAAAAAAAGGAGAAAUGUUUAGAAGUCUUGAUGCUAGGCUAGUCAAAGGAAAGUGUGCUUUCUGGGACAAAAGACGAUCUUCUUAAUUGCGUUGGUUACCAACUUACCAUCAUGUGUAUCUGCCGGUAUGGCCCAACAUGCUGUGUACUUUAGUCAUAGAAUUAGGUACUUGCUAUGCAUAGCCCAAGCACAUAUGAGGAAUCUUCCGCAUUUAUCCAUCUAAAUUGGUUAGUUCCGCUUCAAGUAUUUUCGCUCAGGAGAAGAUGAGAAGGUGGAUGGGCCACUUAAAAUGUAGGAUCCACUUAGUUAUAUAUAGGCUGUAGAUUUCAAUAGUUUCUGGUCGAUUUAUAAUGCCAUAAAACUCAAAUCUGUUUAAUGUAAUGUGCAGUUGUACACUAAUUAACUAAUGUGCAGAAGGCUAUAUGGAAAGCUAGUCAAUGGAAGCUGUAAUAACUUUGUACUCCCUCUGUCCCAUAAUAUAAGAACGUUUUUGACACUACACUAGUGUCAAAAACGUUCUUAUAUUAUGGGACGGAGGGAGUAACUGUGAAGCCCCUUCACUCUUCAUAGCAUUUUGCUGAAAUAUUUCACGUUCCUGUCUGUUUUCAGGUUUAUUCUGUUCUCUCACGAGGUGCAACUUGAGCAAUGGAGUCGAAGUUCUCUGGCUGCCUAUUUUACUCCAGCCUGCACCUACCUGAGAGACUCGGACAAGUAGUUAGUAAUGUGUGAACGAGGAGAAAAGCUGUGUGCAUCCUUCGGGCCCGUUCGGAACCUCUCAACUCGUCGAUGUUGGAGCUGCUAGACAAGUCAUCGUUGAGCCUGCUGGCGGCCGUCCCUCCAAGGAAGCCCUUGCCUACGUCGGAUGUGGCGGCAUUACGGGUGGAUCUUCGUUGUAUGUAUGGAUCCUCGCGAAGCUGGUGCUAACACCAUGUCGAUUUCUCGCUUCGGAUUGUAGCUCUUUUUGGGAAGGAAGUUUGCAGCGUUCUGUAGCAUGAGAUGUACAUGAGUAUCUGCAGGUUCGUUUCUAGUCUGAACUUGCAGACCUUUCGUAAAUGUUCACUUGGAAACAAGGGCUAAUGUAGUGGUACAAUGCUGUGUGUUGAGUGCUGAAGCAUUUCUAUGUCGAUGCUGCUGCUGAGAGCAUGUCUUAUUCGCAGUUGGUAUUUCGGCCUUGACUUUAUUCUUCUUUUGCUGUUUUAUGUGUUUUUGUUUGUCUGUGGGAUUUUUUUUGUGAACGAAAGAGAGGCCUCCACCUCUGAUUUCUAUUAUUAAAGAAACCAUCUGAUUUAUUACAUAGACCUACUCAAAGAACUACCAGCAUAAUGCAACACAACAUAUCAUUAUCAAAAGCCUGAAAGCAAACCAGCUAAACAGGCAGUAAACACCAGGCUCCAUACUUACUCCUUGUGUAUAUAGACAUAUUUUAGAGUGUAGAUUUCACUCAUUUUGCUCCGUAUGUAGUCAUUUGUUGAAAUUUAUAGAAAAACCUAUAUUUAGGAGUAUGUAGUCAUUUUGUUGAAAUCUCUAGAAAGACUAUACGAUACUGGAGUAGCUAUGAGGCAGCAAAGGAGAAGUCAUGCAUCCAAGAGCAAAAUCACCGUAGAAGCUGCACGGGAAGUUGAAGAAGCUUUCAGCCACGGAUCCGAAAAACUCCAGCAUCAACACCUACAUGCUCUAUGAUAUUUGCUCGCAGCAUCAACACCUUUUGACUUUCCUCCUUUAUUUGCGGCAUUGCCCAACAUUAAGUCAUUUUUACUAGUACAACAGAAUCAUUACUGACCGUCCUUUCAAAUACUAUGUCAUUUCUACAUCUCAAAAUUAUCCAAAAUAUAGCAGCAACACCAACUACUAAAACAUACACUCAAACUAUCAGGUAUAGAUCUUAAAUUGAAAGCACACUUAAAAAGGCUCCAUACCAGUCUAGUAACAGAACAUCUAAAGAAGAGAUGCUCAAUGCUCUCAUCAUGACCACAAAACACACAGUUUUGCUGCCUUUCCACCUCCUUAGCAAAUCAUCUCUAGUUAGGACAUCAUUCAUGCCCAUCAAUCAAAGAAUGACUCUGAUAUUUGGUGGAAUUUUGGUCUUUCAUAAAAACUUUUCUGGGAAUUCAUGUCUGCUACAACUAAAUGUCUAUAGAGAGAUUUGACAGUGAAUAAACCAUCAACAGUCAACAUCCAUUUUACUAAUCUUUAUUAUCUGACUCAUGUCAGGAGAGUAGGCGCCUGUAUCGUCAUCUUUUCCUUUUUCUUGCAUAAAUUUAAGUUGGCCCAGUCCUGCAUUCUUCAUGCAGUUGAACACUUCGGGUGCUGAUCAAGAUGAAUAUGGGGUCUGUUUGGAUGAUACGACACUUUUCGUGUUUUCCGAAGCCUAUUCAGGGCAUGUAGGUUUUGGGUCACGUUCUGCAUCAUAUUUGUUUGCCUCCAAAAUCCCAGUCCGCAUCCCCCUUCAUAGUUUAAAUUGCGCUACAAGGAGUCUGCAUCUAUGGAAAUGGUCGAUUCAGGCGUUCCCACAGAGCUUGUCUGAGGGGCGCCUUGAGCUUCGUGUCGCGCAAAACUAGACAAGCAUACGAGUAAGCAAACAACCGAAAUUUUACCCACUGUGCCAUGGAUUAGGAGGGCCACUCACAACCAUGAGGCGUCGAGCUCCCACAAGGCGCCAGUCAUCAGCAUCUCCUCCGCCCAGAAGUAGAUGUUUAACUUGGUUUAGCUCUUAAUUUAGGUUGUGUUACGUACAAUGAACCAGCAAGUUCUCUAAAUCUAGUUUGAACUUCUAUUUUUAAAUGACCAUCUGCAGAAAAUUUCUAUUUUGAGGAAGGGUUGGUGCAAAAAGCUAUAACUCAAAUUUGAGGACUUCUAAUUUUUAUGCGUUAAAAUUUAGGGGAGGGGCUAGAGAUGAUCUAAUAUAAGUGCUAGCUCAUGCAAGUCAUCUAAAAUCUUUAUUUCAAUUCGAUAAUUUUCCACUUAACCAUCAUGGGCUCAUUCAUUAGGAUAAUCAAUACCAAAACUUUGCAGAUACCAGAUUAUGAAUAUUUGUAUUCAAUGUUUGUUGUGAAUGAUAUCUACACUAAUCACACAUAAAAUUAUUUCCCUGCUUGCUGCCUCUUAGUUGCUCUCCAAUUCACUUUCCACACAUCAAUAUUUGUUGUGCAUCAGACACCAUGGUCAAAAGAUAUUCGUAUCUUUGUGGCGUGCAUUGUGGUUAGUGAGUUAUAAAGAAAAUACAAUAGUCCUUGAAAAGCAACUUCUUUUACAUUUCAUCAACACUACUCACGAGUUUUACCUUUCUUCCAUGCGUACAUCCUCCAGACAAGAGGCCCCUUUAUAUACAAUCAACAGCCAAGUAUAUCUACAACAGUUAUAUGUACACCUACAGGCCCAUGUAUGAUGUGAUAAGUCCCUCUUCCACCUUCGCGCACAAGAGCAAGCACCGAAAUUAAAAGCUUCUCAAGCAGUGACAAAAUCGCUUUUACCAUGGGUUCGUAAUCUCCAUCCAUGUUUCUCACCUUCACGCACAAAAACAGGCACCGGGCGCCAAAAGUAAAAGCUUCUCUAGCAGUCACAACAUCGCUUCUACCGCGGGUUCGGAAUCUCCCAUCUAUGUUCUUUCUCAUGGGUGCUUCACAGCCAAGGUGCCCACCCUGGGAACAUCUGGCAUAACCGAUCAGUGUCUACCGCGUCCUGUAUGAGCUGCUGGACCUGCCCCUCUACGCUCCUCAUCUCGCCGUCCUCAUAACCGUCCAGCUUCUGUUUGACGCGGAGUAUCGCACGGGCCGCGUCCUUGUUGCCCUCGUACGCCUCUUGAGAAUCAUCCAGGCACGAGUCAUUGUAUUCAGUUUCCUGAAAGAUCAGAUGUUACUUCAGACUUUGAAAUUCCACACCUUCCAAAGGGAAAUUAAGAAAAGAAAAAAUGGUGUAUGUUUGGACAAAGAUUGUAUGUAUGGACGAUAUAGUGGCUUUAGCGCUGACGUAUGCAGCAGCACCGGCGCUGCAAGCUGUAGUCAUGCAUAAUGGACAUUUAUAGAGAUACUUGUAUAACCGAAAAAACAUCUGGUUACCUUCUGACGCUGUAAGGCUUUCAGUGGCGAAAGGGCCCAUUUAUAAAGAGGAUCAUGGAUGAAGACCUGACAUGUUAGAUCAAUUAUCAGGAUAAACUGUAAUGGCGACUUGCCUGAUGAAUGCAUUUAUGAAAAAACUUUUGGCAACAGACAUACUUCAAUAAUGGUGAGCAAUGCCUCUUUAUUUUCUCUCAUAACAGACAGAGUUUUCUCACAGCAUCUUUUGAAUACACCUUCAGUGCCAGUAACGCCCAUGCCGUCUAUGAUGUCCCUUGUCAGCCGGAAUGGAACCUACAAGCACAGAUGUAAACUUAAUCCAGGCUAUCAUUUAUAGUAGGCUUCGCGCACAUAGUAGGCUUCAGGAUGGUAACUAGUAGCAAACAUUACAAUGGUAUAUGGUUUCGAUCACGUACCCGUUCAGGUGUUUUAAGCAUGAGACCCUGCUCAAAUGCAACACCAAGAUCAAUGUGCACAACCUCGGCUGUGUCUUCAUCAAUGAGAAUGUUCAUGGAAUGGCGAUCUCCAAGCCCAACAAUAUAUCCCACCUGAACCCUCAAAAUUAGUAACCGGUAUAGGCAAAGACAAAUGACUUCCGUUCACCAACUAAAAUGAAAGUUACCAUUGAGCUUGCUGCCACACUUCUUGUGUACGCAAGUCGACUUUGGAACCAGUCUGCGGGCUGCAAGAAUCUCUCAAUGAAGAAAUGGUGCAUCACAGGCCUGGUUAUUGCAGGACAAGGAAAAAAGAAAAGAAAAUGUAAGCAGACAACUUUACUUCUGCAUUUUUCAGUAAAUGAAAAUAAUCAACAAAAACCUAAAGUUGUCGCAGAUUUUGAAAAACGCCUUCCUUUUGUCUUUCUCCUACAAAACGUAAGUGCUUUCAGAAAGGACACUAAUCAUCAUUUAUUGGAAUAUAUAAAAGUGAAAGCUCCAGAUAUGAACAUACACACGCCAGGUGCUCUCUACAUUGCAGAAAUGUCCAGUCUCCAGUUCCAUAUCGUGCAUGUGCUCCGCCAAUUCUAUUGCUGUCCGAACCAAUGAAAUAUUUAUUUUUUAUAAAUCAAAAAUACCUUUAAUUAAUAAAAAAUAUCCAGAAAUUGAAAUUAUUUUACAUAUAACAACUGGAAUCUGAACAGAAUUACCUGUCUAAGAGAUAGUCACCAAGCGGAACAGUCCUAUUUACCCAUUCAACGACACCAGCACUUGGGGUGAAAGGAACAACCUUGAGAAAGUAGUUGGAUUUGUCACAAGUUGCAAAAUAGGCAUGGAGAAACUUAAGAGAAAUGCAAAUUUAUGGCAUUCAUUCCUACAUUAUAUGUGCGUAUUCGCAAUCUCCUUUCCGAAGUAUCUCUGUGAUUUUGCAAGAACAUAUUUACCAAACUGAAAAAUUGCUCCAUCACCUGAAAUUUACACAAGACAGCAUUUACUCAGGCUCCGGUUGGAAGUGCGGUGUAUUAUGAUAUUCACAGGCAACUAUAGCUUUCGCCAGAGUUAAGUACUGAUUUAGUGUCAAACCCUGUAUCCGUAUGUCUAAUACAUUGUCAAACUUCUCAAAAAAAUGGAAGAGAAGAACAUACAGCAUCUUGUCGCAGGUCAUCAUUUCCAGAUUUUGCAAGUUGGCGGUAUCUGUUACCAUCCGAGCCAAUACACUGAAUAACUUUUGGAGCAUUAAUUCCGUUCAUUAUACUGUCAUGGAGGAAGACUUCUAACAGUCAAUAAAGACCAAAAACAGUAAAUCCUCGGGUACAAACAAUGUGUUAAACCAAAACCCAACUUACGUAAUAGAAUCCACCAGCCCACUGAAAUGUGGAAAGGUGCCUUCUUCAUACCGACAAUUAGGGUCAACUGGAAUAGUAGCAGUCACAACAGGAACCUGAUGAAAUCAAACAAACAAAGAAGCAGUGUAGUGAAAUUUCCACAAGUCAUUUAAAACACUCAUGGUUGAGAACACACAGACCCAGGUUAUUAAUCAAGGAAAAUCAGAAGGUCCCACAAAGCAAAGAUUGCUUAUUUUCCUAACCAUAUGGUAAUUUUCAGCUGGAAGCGACAGAAGGAAUUUGCAGAAGUAAAUUUCAUAAAAAGUACCUUUGCAAGUUCAAGCUGGCAAAUGCUGCGGAACUCCCUGGGUAGUGAGAUUUUUUUGUUAGUGUCCUGAACCAGAUGUACAAAAAGAAUAUGUCAGCAUGGAGAAUGUAUGUAUACAAAUCCCCUACAAGCCGUUAUUUGAACAGGUAACUGACCUCCUUCCUAGUCUCCAGUUCCGCUAACCUAAUGUAGAUCUCAACCAUUUGCUUCAUCUAUAAGACGUGGGGAUGAGCAUCAUGAAUAAUAUAUUACAUGACCACCUCCAUGGGUAAGAAUAUCGCGAUAAAAUGAUCAUUGUAAGAAGUGGCAAACCUGACGAAUCAAAGCCCCAUGAAAAGAAGAUAGCUCCUUUAAUAGAUUCUCAGCAGCAAGCUUCUUGUCCAUAUCUACAACAAAAGAACUUCUACUUCUUUGCUUGUCUUUGACACGGUCACCAUUUGCUAGAGCCAAAAGCUGAGGCCAAAGAAUGACACAUACUUAAAACAGCAAAAGAGUGUUCUACUGGCCUGAAAGAAUCUGAGAUUUAACAAAAAUGUGCUCGAGUUGCUCCAUACAUCAACUAGGCCUAAUGGUGAAAGUCGUGCUGGGGUUCUCCUAAAACAAUGUUGUGUUGGUAUUUGUAUUACUCCCUCCGUUCACUUUUGUAAGUCAUUCCAGACAACUCAAAAUGGGCUGUUUUGUGCAUUGUCUGAAAUGUCUUCAAGGUCUUAUAAAAGUGAACAGAGGGAGUAGUUGAUACAGUACUGACCAUGUUAUACGAUUGUUUUACAUGCAUUCAGCAUUUGGCUGACUAGAUCUGGGUUCACUAUGCAAUAUACUAUAGGUUCUUCCAAUAUAUAGAAAACAAUACAAAUGUAUGAAAACCAUGAAAAUAGACUUUGAUUGUAAUUCUUCCAAUAUAUAGAAGACUGUAACUUUAAUACCUGACAUAUUGUAUGAUAUGGAUGAUCAAUGGCCAUUUUCUUCAACAGAGAAGCUAAUGCAUUCUGCCAGGGAAAAUAAUGAUCUUACUUGAGAGGUUCAUAUUCAUGUUUACUCGCGGAAGCAACAUAUGACAGUUCUCAACAUUGUACAUACCUGGAAGUUUGUUGACCCCUGAGCAUCUUUUGAACUCCCAAGUCUAGAAGCAAUCUGGUAGACCAAUGGUAUGAACUUGUAGCUUUGGACCUAUCGAACCAAAAAAUAAAGUUUUUUACCAUGGAAGGGAAAAAAGUACCAGCGGGAAUAAUGAAAUGGAGCUAAAAGAGAUGACCUCUUUUGUUGUUUUAAUCAUUGAGUCCACAACUUGUUUCCUUGAGAAGAGAUUAAACCACAGUGAUACCAACCGGAAAACCUGAAUGUAAGAUGUUUGACACUGACAUAAGCAACAGUAUCCUUGAGAACAGAACACAGAGUUGAAGGUAAACCGUUUUGCAGUAUGAAACUCAUUGAGACUGAAAGAAAAAGAACAUUCCCAGCAAAUAUAUUGCAUACCACUUGUAGGUCAUAUUUGCCACCAACAACUAGGGAACGUUGGUACCCCUCAAGUGCUAGACUCAAGAACUCGUCUCGAUCAUCCUGGUAAAAGGGUUCGAGUUAAUAAAAUGCUCAACAAACUGAGAAAUUUAAUAUUCCAUGGAAUGCGUUGUAUAACACUCAACAUGCCCAACUAAUUGUAAGGCUAAAAUUAUGCUGUGGGUUUCUACUGAGGCCAUAAUGAACGAGGGACUCCAUAUUUGGUGCUCCUAUGGCACCAUAAACCCAUUUAUGAAAAUCACAUGACACUCUAGUCCAAAAUGUAGACGGGGGAGGCCAGGACAGACACCAUAGGAGUCAAUUCCAGUGCAUGGGAUCAGAUUGACGAAUGUAUGAGCUUAGCUCCAUGGAUAGAUAGUGAUUAUAUAAGAUAUGCAGAAAAUGAUUAGGUUAACUCAUUGGUGGUAUGCUGGCUCCACCUCUGGAUGUAGACAACUAAGAAAAGAAAAAACAGUAAAAGAGAAUAAUGCAUGAUGCAAUGCUCGACAUUCUGGCACUCUAUGGCUCAGAUGAAUUUACCACUAAAUUUGGCAUAUAUGCACAACAUGAAAUGAAUGCAUCUUUCUGUAAAUUAUCAUAAUAUUGCAUCAUCCGCUUGCCAAAUAGUUAAUUUUUGCGAACGGUAGGUUUUGCCUAUAUAUCAGCACCUUUUUUGGAUAUAUGGUUAUUGGACAGAACUAUUAAACAGUAUAUUUGGUAUAUAUGAAGGGACCAUGAACUUGAAAUUCUGGUGUGAAGCUUGGAUAAACAGUAUAUGCACACCUGAAUCUUCUGUGCUUCUUCUCUGUCAAGUGCAAGUUGUUUCUGCAACUCUUGGAUUUUCGCACCGUAAUCACUUUUCUCAGCCUGAAAUUUUGAAGGCUUAGUAUACGAGGUAGCAAGAAUAAAAGACCUUGCUUUUCAGGUUUAAGCAACCCUCAAAAGUUGCAGUUAUCUACGUGCCUUGGAUGAAUUUUUGAGUCUUUUAAGCAGCGUAUCCAACUCCUUAGUCUGCAUUAAAUAGCAAUUGAUUAAGAUAAACAAAGCUUAAAGUCAAAUAUUGAUGGCAUUGUCAACUCAGCUACCUUGUAUUUCCUUAAACGCAGAGCGGCUUGCCAUUCAUUGGAUGAAAGUCUUUCCUCGUAGCUUUUGAACAAGUUGUAUGUGUAAUGUGCUAAAUGGAAAUGCGUGCGACACUGCCUGGACAUGUACUUUUUGUCAAGAGCUACAGAGUGGUUUAGGUAGUCUUCAAUGAUUGUUCUUGAGCUACAAAAUUUAUUAUAAAGAAUGUUCAUGUUAACAACACAUACAAAAAGUGGAAAGAGUUCUCACUUCACAAUAGAAAAACAGUAUACGAGGCAUCAAAUAUAAAGGAAUAAAGGAUUACUUGCUCGAUCUUGUUUCAGCCAACCACUUGCCAACCAAUCGGUAGACAUCUGAUUUGUUUCUCUCAUCAGUAUGGUUCUUCAGUAUGUAUUUACCAAGACCAAUAGCCAUAUCAUGCUGCCCCUGAGCUCUCAGCAGUUUAGCUUCUUCAAGCUGGAGAGUGAAUGCAGGAUUAUCAGAAUAUGAACUUCAAUUGAAAAUAAAAAAAACAUACUCUGAUAUUAAUAUGCAAAAGAGAAAGGGAAAGGAAAGCAUGUUAGAACUUCAAAAGUUCAAAUCAGCAGUCGGAUAACAGAAAGGUAAAUUGUUUACCUUUGAGAGGAAAUAAGUGCUUGGCACAGUUUGCUGAUCUCUGUGACAGCAAAGUUCUUUGAGUUCAUAUAAGGAAGCCGCAGCCAAAGAAAACCUUAAUCCCUGAAUCCAGAAAAUAAUCAUGAUGUACUAAGCAAACAAACAGUGGACCCAUAGUCGGAAAGUAAAGAAGUGAGCCAACCUUCCGGAGUGCAGAAGCGGAUUGAAAUAAAUGUUCUAUGAGAUGUUCUUCAGAACCUAAGAUCUUAAGGAGGCCACGUCUGAAUGCUAAAAAGGGUUCAAAAAGAUCAAGGUUACGUUCUGUUUGACACAGGAUGAAAUUCCACUCUUUACUCAACAACUCCAGCUGCAAAAAAAAGGUAAGGAAAUGAUUAGGCAACCAGGAAAAUUCAAGUAUUAACAAAAUGGUUUCAAUAUAUGACAAGGAAAGCGUCAGAACCUGAUUCCUCUUGGGUACAGCAGGCACAAGAGAAAAUUCCUCAGUUCCAACAUUAGAUUUUGGAGCUUGGUCGGGACAAAAUUUCCAGCGCAGCUCCCAUGCCAUAGAAAGAUGAUCUAGCAUCUAAAUUAACAAAAUGUUAGAAGUAAUGUACCUAACAAUAACCAAAAACAUGAAGGCCACCAUAUGUCAAGGAGUACUUGUAAUUUGAGAACGGUAGAGUGGAUGUAUUUCGUGCUCUCCUUGCUAGCAUUUGAAAGAGCCAACACGAGAUCCUAAAAGAGGACAAAGUAAAUAAGUUAUAGUCUAGAGAAACCCAAAUGAGUAC